rnacentral:rRNA from 1 species
GACAGAGGGUGCAACCGUUGUUCGGAAUCACUGGGCGUAAAGCGUGUGUAGGCGGCUAAGAAAGUCGGAUGUGAAAGCCCCGGGCUCAACCCGGGAAGUGCACUCGAUACUGCUUAGCUCGAGUAUCGGAGAGGUUGGUGGAAUUCUCGGUGUAGAGGUGAAAUUCGUAGAUAUCGAGAGGAACACCGGUGGCGAAGGCGGAUCUCUGGGCCAUUACUGACGCUGAGGAGCGAAAGCGUGGGGAGCGAACAGG